UCUAGUAGCUGGUUUCCUCCGAAGUUUCCCUCAGGAUAGCUGGAGCUUUUUAGUUUUAUCGGGUAAAGCGAAUGAUUAGUGGCCUCGGGGAUGUAACAUCCUCGACCAAUUCUCAAACUUUAAAUAGGUAAGAGUCGCGGUUGCCUAAUCGAACCGUGGCGUUAAAUACAAGCUCCAAGUGGGCCAUUUUUGGUAAGCAGAACUGGCGAGGCGGGAUGAACCGAAAGUCAAGUUACGGUGCCAAACUUCACGCUAACCUAGAUCCCACAAAGGGGGUUGAUUCAUAUAGACAGCAGGA
rnacentral:rRNA from 1 species